ensembl:misc_RNA Metazoa_SRP Metazoan signal recognition particle RNA
GCCAGGCAUGAUGGCUCAUGCCUGUAAUCCCAGCACUUUGGGAGGCCGAGGUGGGCGGAUCACCUGAGGUCAGGAGUUCAAGACCAGCCUGACCAACAUGGUGAAACCCCAUCUCUA